rnacentral:rRNA from 1 species
AACGAACGCUGGCGGCAUGCCUAACACAUGCAAGUCGAACGAGACCUUCGGGUCUAGUGGCGCACGGGUGCGUAACGCGUGGGAACCUGCCCUUAGGUUCGGAAUAACUCCCCGAAAGGGGUGCUAAUACCGGAUAAGGUCUUCGGACCAAAGAUUUAUCGCCUUUGGAUGGGCCCGCGUUGGAUUAGCUAGUUGGGAGGGUAAAAGCCUACCAAGGCGACGAUCCAUAGCUGGUCUGAGAGGAUGAUCAGCCACACUGGGACUGAGACACGGCCCAGACUCCUGCGGGAGGCAGCAGUGGGGACUAUUGGACAAUGGGCGAAAGCCUGAUCCAGCACUGCCGCGUGAGUGAUGAAGGCCUUAGGGUUGUAAAGCUCCUUUACCCGGGAUGAUAAUGACGGUACCGGGAGAAUAGGCUCCGGCUAACUCCGU